rnacentral:rRNA from 1 species
CCUACGGGAGGCAGCAGUGGGGAAUAUUGCACAAUGGGGGAAACCCUGAUGCAGCGACGCCGCGUGAAGGAAGAAGUAUUUCGGUAUGUAAACUUCUAUCAGCAGGGAAGAAAAUGACGGUACCUGACUACGAAGCCCCGGCUAACUACGUGCCAGCAGCCGCGGUCAUACGUAGGGGGCAAGCGUUAUCCGGAUUUACUGGGUGUAAAGGGAGCGUAGGCGGUGCAGCAAGUCAGAAGGGAAAGACCGGGGCUCAACCCCGGGACUGCUUUUGAAACUGUUGAACUAGAUUGCAGGAGAGGUAAGUGGAAUGCGUAGUGUAGCGGUGAAAUGCGUAGAUAUUAGGAGGAACACCAGUUGCGAAGGCGGCUUACUGGACUGUAAAUGACGCUGAGGCUCGAAAGCGUGGGGAGCAAACAGGAUUAGAUACCCCAGUAGUC